UGUGUCCACACACUCUAUAUACUAUUUAUUAUCCUGAAAUCAGGUAUGCAUCCUUUACUCUAAGAUUUAUCUUUGAGAAUUUGAUGUCUUGUAUUGAUUUGAUAUCUUUGAAUUGACUAUGUAAAUUGGCAUAAUACUUAUUUAUCUAUGCGCUGAUCAGUUUUGUCCCAUCUGCACAGUGCCGCUAUUUUCGCUCCUGUUGCAAGAGUGUUCACUAAUAAGUGCGUGAGCGCCGCGGUUUAAACUUCAAUGGUUCACGGCGCGCUGACUCUGCUCAGCGCUCGGGAGAAUGAUGAUUACAAUGAACCUACAAGAAGAAAGGUGGUUUAUCGCGUUGUCCAGGCCUGUGCAAUUCUCUGCCGGGAGGUUUGAAACAUGACCAACUUGCUACAACACAAAAGGUCUGGACUAUGGAGUGCAGCAUUACUUGUUUGGUCAUCUACAUUCAGAUGAAAACACCACACUCCUCUCUAAUUCAAGAUUUCAAGAUUUUCAUCGCAAGGAGAGUUAGCAUUAAAAUGCCAUCUGUGUCCUAAUAUUUGGAGUGAAUCAUCAGAAUCCCUGCAUUCUGUACCCUCUGAUGGCAAUGACCCCUGCUACUAAGGAUUGCUUUGAUCAACACCAAGUCUCUGGUAAAAAAGAUGUGUAAGUAAAUAAGACCGGUUCCACUCGGAUAAUGAACACCU